UUGAAAUAAGCCAAUACAACCGUUUAAAAAAAGGCGGAACAGUUUUAGCAGCAUUCCCGCGAGAGUUUUGGCUCCAAAUAUUACAUUUUUUAGCACCAUUUUAAUGUAACCCUCAAAAUAAAGAUAUCCUAAAAUUUUCAACCCACAAAAUAAAGCCCAUAAUUUGAAAAAUAAUGUGCGGCGGUCGAUGACUUAGCUCCAAAGUCGAUCUGAAGUGCGGUGGUUGGGGAUAUCAUCUACGAUGACGAGCUGAGGGGCACGGUGGUCGGCAAUGUCAUCUCCUCCACUUCUUCGUUUGAUUACAGUCCUGGUGUUUUAGGGGCUUAGAGAGAGAGGGAGAGAGAGUCACGCCAAACCGGCUUUGAUUCAAAAAGCAGAAGGAUUUAUGCUGGCUGGAUCAAUACUCAUGGUUGGUGGCAUAAUUGCUGGUGCUGUUGUUGGAGGCAUGAUGGAUGCUUUGAUUGAUUUGCCUCCUUGGAUCACCUUUCUGGGAGCAUGAGAAGGAGGUAUUUAUCCCUGAAACUUCUCCUGGUGCAAAGCCUUGCGUUUACUAUACAUAUAUGUGUUUUUUGUCUUCUUAUUUAAUAUGUUUGACAUUGUAAGUUUCUUCUUAACUUUAUGUUCUACUAUCCAUAUAUGUGCUGCUAGACAGUAUUUCUAUAAUAUAUUUUUUUCAUGAUUUUCCUCUCAUCCAGGAUAUUAAUCUUCUUUGGCAACCACUACUUAGUUACAUGACACAAAAAUAUAAAGCAAGAUGGUCCAUUUUUAUUUUGUGCUAAAAUUUGUGAUGGACUCGCUCUUGAUGCGGCUACAAAAAUACCCUUGCCUUGUUUCCAAGAUUUUCAGUUACACUGGCAAAGAAGUAUUUUAAAGUUUGUUGAAGUUACCCACUAUUCUCUCUUUUUGGCACCUUCUCUCUUCACUUGUUCAUAUAUCAUAGCUUUAUAUUCCUUGUUGUUUAUAAUCUUGUCUUCUAGUUGUUGUAGAGAUAGAAACUUAGUUGAAAGAAUUGCAGAUGCUACUGCAGUGAAAUCAUGGCGAUGGUGCUGAUCAAAGAUCUUUUGGUUGUUUCUGUCAUCUUCAAAAGAAAGAAGCCUCUACAUUCCAUUAUAUAUGAAUAUAAAAUUUGUAUAAUAUAAUCUUCAUAUAUCUAAUCCAGCCUUGUAAAUGUUUGACUCAGUAUUCAGUUUGAUUAAAUCAUACUUCUGCUUUUCUUUGAUAUACACCAAUGUUGAUUUUUUUUACAUGUAAGGAUGUUUCCUAAUUUUUCCAGCAAGUGGUUAUGUAAUUAAUUUGCAUUGAUUGAAUAUUUUUAUAGUUUAAGAUUUGUGUCUUUGUUGAGGUACUUGUAAUUGAGGUACAGAUCUCUCUGUUUCUUCCACCCACCUUCAAAUCUACCUUUUUGUUUUUGUUUGUUUACUUUCACAUCUUCCACUAGAUUUUUCUCAACAGAAUUCUUGAGAAACUUUUGGGUCUUUAAUUGCUUAUAAUAGUCUUUCUUUAUGAGAAAAAAUCUGGUCAUAUCUUUGAUGGAUUUUGACUAAGUUAUUGAGCUCUGCUUUGAUUGGUCUUAGCUUCCUUUCCAGGCAGUUGACAUUCAGUACUACUUGAACUACCUUGGGAAAAUGGUGACUCUCUUGGUGGAACUGGAUGGAGCAUGAGUGAGUUCAGUUGGGAUGU